UCCUGUCCCCACUGCUCCCAGGUACUGGCUGAUGGCAUUCUCUCCCACGCUAAAGGCGGCGCUGCUGCUGCUGUCGACACUGACAGCGACGUGGGUAACUGAUCUAACCGCGGCUAAUCCGGUGAGGAUUUCCAGUCACAGCAAAUCUCCCGUUGAUGGAUUAUAUUUACGCGAUGACCCCGACGCCCACACCGCCCGCGAGGAGGUCACACACACGCCCAUGCGAGGGCCAGUCAUCACUCCUCCUCCACAUCUCAAUUUCUCAACUCCUGCGCCAAAGAAGGGGUCAACUUUAAGUGUGAUCAAGUUCAUGGAACAGUUUGGCUACGUCCAAAAGAGUGACAAUGUUUCCGGAGCGCUCUACACGGAACAGUCUCUCGAGGAAUAUAUCAUGAAACUGCAGAAGUUCGGCAACAUUCCCCAAACUGGAGUUGUCGAUAAUGCCACUUUGGAGCUGAUAGCCACCCCUCGCUGCGGCCGCCCUGAUCUAGAGACCAGCGUCCCGAAGGACUCCGAGGACCACAGGGAACCCCAUGAACACAUCCGGCGCAAGCGAUACAUUGUAGGGGGACUUGGCUGGGAGAAGAGACGAUUAACUUACCACUUGGCCAACUGGUCUCCGCAGCUAAAGUCGAAGGAGAAUGUGCAGAAGGAGUUACGGAAGGCCUUCGACGCCUGGAGUGUCUACUCCCAUCUACAGUUCUCAGAGGUCGACACGGGUGACGCCGACAUUAUCAUCUACUUCGCCAGUUACGAUCACUAUGAUGGGUACCCUUUCGACGGGCCGAGUGGCAUCUUGGCCCACGCCUACUACCCCUAUGAGUUCGGAUCGUACGGCGGAGACGUCCACUUUGACGAGAGUGAAAAAUGGAACAUCAGACCCAAAGACGAGUAUUCAGGAUUGGACUUCUUCACGGUGGCCGUACACGAGAUUGGUCACUCGCUAGGCCUGGCCCAUUCUCCUGUGUCUGGGUCCAUCAUGUUCCCGUACUACAAGGGCUACACCAAGCACUUCGCUCUAGACUAUGACGACGUCAUGGCCAUGUGGGAGCUCUAUAUAAAACGUAAACUUGACGGCGACGACGAAUACUUCAACUCCACCACGACGACCACCACGACCACCCCGGCCUACCCAGACGACGACCACCAGGCCGACGCCGCCGGCGACGACAACCCCGAGGGUAAGAGUCCUAAUCCUGAUGAUAAUGAAGCUGAUGAUGAUAAUAAUGUACUUAAAGACGAGGCUAAAGACUGGGACGAGGCUACAGACUCGGACGAAGUCAGUUACCGCGGAGACUAUGAGACAGUUGACCAACAUAGAAAACGGGUGCAAGGUGGUUGGGUGGAUGACUUGCCUGGUUUACCACAUCUUCCACCAGAGGGAGAUGGAGCCCACGGGAGGAAAGAGGACGAGGAGGAAGACUUCUACGCGGAAGACAGGAAGAGAAGAGAGGAAGAAGAGAAACGCCGCGAGGAAGAUCGAAAGAGAGAAGAGGAAGACGAGGCGGAAAGACGGCGUUCGGAGGAGGACAUCAAAAGGAGGGAGGAAGAGACCAGACGAAGAGAAGAGGAAGCAAGGAGGAGAUGGGAGGAAGAAUGGGAAGCUAGAGGAGGAGAGGAGCCGGAGGACACACCUCCCGGGUCCGAGCCCCGGCUCCCUAACCUCUGUCACGGCAGCUACGACGCCAUGGCUCUUCUUAGACAAGAACUCUUUAUCUUUAAGGAUCAGUACGUGUGGCGAUACAGUGAGCGGCGGCGCCUGAGGGAUGGAUACCCGACCCUCAUCCGUAACCUCUUCCCGGCCCUGCCGUCUUUCUUGAAGAAAAUCAACGCUGUCUACGAGAGACCGUCUGACAGCAACAUUAUCUUCUUUAUAGGAAAAUAUUACUACGUCCACGAUGGGGACCGCCUAGUGGAGGGGUCGCCGCGCCCCCUAACCUCUCUGGGUCUUCCGGAACUACAGACCAGCAUCGACGCUGCUUUCCACUGGCCUAGAGCCGAUAAGACCUACUUCUUCAGCAAAAAUUGGUAUUUUCGGUACAAUGAGAAGACUCGACAAAUGGACCCCGGCUACCCGAAGGACAUUAGCAAGUGGAACGGCCUUCCUAGCAACCUGGACGCUGCCUUCACCUUCACUGAUGGUCUUUCAUACUUCAUCAGAGGUUAUCAGUACUGGAAGUACGACAACGUCCGCAUCGAGCCGUACUCCGAGUACCCUAAGGACGCCCCAGAGUACUGGGCCGGUUGUCCACCCGGCGACCUCAAUUAGUGCUGUGUGGUACAGUCACACAGGUACAGGGAGGGAAGCUGUAGCUACACAGGUACAGGAACUGUAGCUACACAGGUACAGGAACUGUAGCUACACAGGUACAGGAGCUGUAGCUACACAGGUACAGGAGCUGUAGCUACACAGGUACAGGAGCUGUAGCUACACAGGUACAGGAACUGUAGCUACACAGGUACAGGAACUGUAGCUACACAGGUACAGGAACUGUAGCUACACAGGUACAGGAACUGUAGCCACACAGGUACAGGAACUGUAGCCACACAGGUACAGGAACUGUAGCUACACAGGUACAGGAACUGUAGCCACACAGGUACAGGAACUGUAGCCACACAGGUACAGGAACUGUAGCCACACAGGUACAGGAACUGUAGCCACACAGGUACAGGAACUGUAGCCACACAGGUACAGGAACUGUAGCUACACAGGUACAGGAACUGUAGCUACACAGGUACAGGAACUGUAGCCACACAGGUACAGGAACUGUAGCUACACAGGUACAGGAACUGUAGCUACACAGGUACAGGAACUGUAGCUACACAGGUACAGGAACUGUAGCUACACAGGUACAGGAACUGUAGCUACACAGGUACAGGAACUGUAGCCACACAGGUACAGGAACUGUAGCUACACAGGUACAGGAACUGAAGCUACACAGGUACAGGAACUGUAGCUACACAGGUACAUGAACUGUAGCUACACAGGUACAGGAACUGUAGCUACACAGGUACAGGAACUGUAGCUACACAGGUACAGGAACUGUAGCCACACAGGUACAGGAACUGUAUCCACACAGGUACAGGAACUGUAGCUACACAGGUACACGAGCUGUAGCUACACAGGUACAGGAACUGUAGCCACACAGGUACAGGAACUGUAGCCACACAGGUACAGGAACUGUAGCCACACAGGUACAGGAACUGUAGCCACACAGGUACAGGAACUGUAGCCACACAGGUACAGGAACUGUAGCCACACAGGUACAGGAACUGUAGCCACACAGGUACAGGAACUGUAGCCACACAGGUACAGGAACUGUAGCCACACAGGUACAGGAACUGUAGCCACACAGGUACAGGAACUGUAGCCACACAGGUACAGGAACUGUAGCCACACAGGUACAGGAACUGUAGCCACACAGGUACAGGAACUGUAUCCACACAGGUACAGGAACUGUAUCCACACAGGUACAGGGAGGGAAGCUGUAGCUACACAGGUACAGGAGCUGUAGCUACACAGGUACAGGAGCUGUAGCUACACAGGUACAGGAACUGUAGCUACACAGGUACAGGUGCUGUAGCUACACAGGUACAGGAACUGUAGCCAAACAGGUACAGGAGCUGUAGCUACACAGGUACAGGAGCUGUAGCUACACAGGUACAGGAACUGUAGCUACACAGGUACAGGAACUGUAGCUACACAGGUACAGGUGCUGUAGCUACACAGGUACAGGAACUGUAGCUACACAGGUACAGGAACUGUAGGGACCUCCUACCAUCCGGCUAGCAACAGGACCUACCAUCCGGCUAGCAGCAGGACCUCCUAUCAUCCGGCUAGCAACAGGACCUCCUAUCAUCCGGCUAGCAGCAGGACCUACCAUCCGGCUAGCAACAGGACCUACCAUCCGGCUAGCAGCAGGACCUAUCAUCCGGCUAGCAGCAGGACCUCCUAUCAUCCAGCUAGCAACAGGACCUCCUAUCAUCCGGCUAGCAACAGGACCUACCAUCCGGCUAGCAACAGGACCUCCUACCAUCCGGCUAGCAACAGGACCUACCAUCCGGCUAGCAGCAGGACCUACCAUCCGGCUAGCAAUAGGACCUACAAUCCGGCUAGCAACAGGACCUACCAUCCGGCUUGCAGCAGGCCCUACCAUCCGGCUAGCAGCAGGCCCUACCAUCCGGCUAGCAACAGGACCUACCAUCCGGCUAGCAGCAGGACCUACCAUCCGGCUAGCAGCAGGACCUACCAUCCGGCUAGCAACAGGACCUCCUAUCAUCCGGCUAGCAACAGGACCUACCAUCCGGCUAGCAACAGGACCUCCUACCAUCCGGCUAGCAACAGGACCUACCAUCCGGCUAGCAGCAGGACCUACCAUCCGGCUAGCAAUAGGACCUACAAUCCGGCUAGCAACAGGACCUACCAUCCGGCUAGCAGCAGGCCCUACCAUCCGGCUAGCAGCAGGCCCUACCAUCCGGCUAGCAGCAGGCCCUACCAUCCGGCUAGCAGCUAAACUUGCAUAGCAUCAGAAUGUCUACAAUAGACUGGUGCCCAAAUGCCCUAAUACGUACGAACCCCACGACGCCAUGCUGUAUACGAAGGUGUAUUACUGCUGUGUAUACACACCUCUCUGGGGGGUUAUACAACCGUGAUUUCUGUCGUGUAUACUUCGUUAUACUUCCCUGCAUAUCUGGGUUUAGCCUGGUGUUUGCUCUCUCUAAUGUUGUCUCAGUGUAUUAUGUAUUAUGUAUACUGUGUUUGUAUACUGGCAUCUUGUAUGUUGAUGUGUUUGCUACUCCUGUAUUUUAUACUAUUUCUGUAUGUUUGCCCUGUAUAUUCCUCCUUUAUGUUGUCGUGUAUACUCCUGUAUGUUGCUGUGUAUACUCCUGUAUGUUGCUGUGUAUACUCCUGUAUGUUGCUGUGUAUACUCCUGUAUGUUGCUGUGUAUACUCCUGUAUGUUGCUGUGUAUACUCCUGUAUGUUGCUGUGUAUACUCCUGUGGCUGUGUAUACUCCUGUUGCUGUGUAUACUCCUGUUGCUGUGUAUACUCCUGUUGCUGUGUAUACUCCUGUUGCUGUGUAUACUCAUGUUUGUUGCUGUGUAUACUCCUGUAUGUUGGUGUGUAUACUCAUGUAUGUUGGUGUGUAUACUCAUGUAUGUUGCUGUGUAUACUCAUGUAUGUUGCUGUGUAUACUCAUGUAUUUUGGUGUGUAUACUCAUGUGUGUUGCUGUGUAUACUCAUGUUGCUGUGUAUACUCAUGUUGCUGUGUAUACUCAUGUUUCUGUGUAUACUCAUGUAUGUUGCUGUGUAUACUCAUGUAUGUUGCUGUGUAUACUCAUGUAUGUUGCUGUGUAUACAUAUGUUGCUGUGUAUACUCAUGUAUGUUGCUGUGUAUACUUAUGUUGCUGUGUAUACUCCUGUAUGUUGCUGUGUAUACUCAUGUUGUUGUGUAUACUCAUGUUCAUGUGUAUACUCAUGUUUCUGUGUAUACUCCUGUAUGUUGCUGUGUAUACUCCUGUAUGUUGUUGUGUAUACUCAUGUUGCUGUGCAUACUCCUGUAUGUUGGUGUGUAUACUCAUGUAUGUUGCUGUGUAUACUCCUGUAUGUUGGUGUGUAUACUCAUGUAUUUUGGUGUGUAUACUCAUGUAUGUUGGUGUGUAUACUCAUGUAUGUUGGUGUGUAUACUCAUGUAUGUUGCUGUGUAUACUCAUGUAUGUUGCUGUGUAUACUCAUGUUUCUGUGUAUACUCAUGUAUGUUGCUGUGUAUACUCAUGUAUGUUGCUGUGUAUACUUAUGUUGCUGUGUAUACUCAUGUAUGUUGCUGUGUAUACUUAUGUUGCUGUGUAUACUCCUGUAUGUUGUUGUGUAUACUCAUGUUGUUGUGUAUACUCAUGUUUCUGUGUAUACUCAUGUUUCUGUGUAUACUCAUGUAUGUUGCUGUGUAUACUCAUGUAUGUUGUGUAUACUCCUGUAUGUCGCCAGCUCCUGUAUGUUCUGUUUUAUUAACAAAGUAUGACUGUAUUUGGGACUUAAGUCCACAAUAAAAUUUAUUAUUUUUAUUAA